ACUAAAAUUAUAAUUUUAAUUUUAAUUUGAAUCCAUAAAUGUAAUUUAAAUUUGAAAUAAAAUUUGAAUAAAAUUUUAUAUAAAUUAAAAUUUAAUUUAAAUUCAUAAGUUAGAUUCGAAAUACUUGAUUAAAUUUUAAUUUUUAAUUUAAGUUCAAAUUAAAAUUUAAAAUUAUAUAUUUAAUUUUUAAAUUUUAGGUCAUAUUUUAAUUAAAAAAGUUGAAAAAACAAAUUUAAUCCGAAUAAAUAUCUAUUCCGUCCGGAUUCAACUUCCAAUCCGACCUCUUAGGCCAGAUUGAAAAAAGAGGUGAUUGUGAGAUUCCUAUUUCACUCGGGAAUCAGAAUCGGAAUGGAACUCUCGCGUACCAAAUACCCACAAAUGAAUUCACCCAUUCUGAUUCCGAUUUCAGGGUGAAAAAGAAGCAAACCAAAUAUGCCCAUACCCAUAUAGAGUAACAAUUUAAAAGACCAAAAGAUAUUUUGAAUGGGAAAAGCCCUAAGGAGCAACUAGCCUGCAAGACAAUGAAUUUUCAAUUUUUUUAAAAUUUAAAACUGGUCAUAUUCAAACGUGCUAAAUUUCCUUGAAAGUACUGAAUCUAUAUCAAAAAGAACGGGGAGGACCAAUAGACUAUAGACACAUGGCACAUAGCAAUGAUGCUGAGUGGUCAAUCAAAAAAAUCUAGGCCAAUUUUAUCUUCCCACUAAAUUUUAUUUAUCUUUUUAAUUUAAUGUUUUUUGUUUGUAAAUUUGAAAAUUUUUUGUUAGAUUCAAAUGGCUAUAAGAGAUACGCUCUACCUUGUAUUUUUGAUUGAAAUGAUUGUAUCUUUUAUGAUCGUUUAUUUUAAUCCUAAUAUAAUUAUUAAAAUUGCUAAAAAAAAAAAAAACUCAAUUAAAUACUUAUUACGAAAAAUAGUAAAGGAUCAAUUCCAAAUAAGUUAAAGUGUAGAGGGUGUCUAUACAUUUUUUACCGAAAAAGUUAGUACGUUCCUUUCAAUUCACGUAAACUUAAAAAGAAAAAAAAAGAAAAAGAAAAAGGAGAAAAGCCCAAAAAGGAUUUCACGGUAAACCUCACGAGAAACGCCUAGCGAUCCGUGGACGAACUCAUCAGCCAAUAGAGACACAGAACAAGGGCUAACGCGAUCCACCCACCAUCUAAAAUCCGAUCUAGGCCGUCACUUGGGAAACGGGAAAACACAGAAAGGGACAAUCUCUACCGUCCGUUUUCAUUAACACAACAAUGAUUCUCUGAUCCGUAUGAGCCGUUGGAUUGUCCACGAGGAGCCGAUCUCGCUGACCCGUUCUUCGAAGGCCUAUAAAUAGGUCUCCACCGCGUGCAAGUCACAACUUUUGAUCGCUCGAGGGGGAAUUAGGGCUCGUUGAUUCUCUGAAAAGCUUCUUCGAGAGGUACGCCUCGGUCCUGUUCUUUUUUUUUUUUAAUUUCUUUUCUUUUGCUGUCUUUUUCAGUAAUUAGAUGUGUUAAUUUUUUACUGUAAUUGUGAUUUUUUCGUGGAAUUCUUUUGUAUUUUUUUUAAUCAUGAUUGAUCUUUGAUUCGUUAUGCUUCGUUUUUGUUUUGGUGAUGUGAUAGGUGUUUUUCUAAUCGGGGAUUUUGAUUUUUGUGUCGUCCUUGCAGUGUUGUAGAUUCGUCUUGGUUUUGUAAGUUUUAUGUUGAUUUGGCUUUUGUUUCUUUUCCUAGUUUUAAGGAUUUCUAUUAUUAAUCUUAUCUCGAGGAACAUUGUUUGAAUAAGGUGCGAGAUAGUUUUGCUGAGGUCUACUAUCAAAGAUUAAUGUAUGCAGUGUUGAUUUGGUUUUAGAUGUAUGUUCGCGCAAUCUCAUUGUUUCAGUUUGUAGAAAGAAGUAUCACUUUUAGAAUUUUUAAUAGAUUAUGUAUCUGACGAUGAGGUAGAUCUUUAUCUCACUAUUUUGUAGAAUCGCCGUGAAAGUAUUACACUGUUGCAUUAAAAUCUUAACUCAAUAACAGUUUUGCGAUCUGCUAUAAUACCUGUGGUGUAAAACUUCUUGAUGUCUCUGCAUUGAGUGAAAUUUUAAGGGUGGGCUAUACCCUUGACACAAUAGCACCUGUUUAAUUCAAUUGUAAUUUUGAUCAAUAGAGAAUCUCUCACAGUUCAAUCACAUAAUAACAUAUUAGAUCAAUUAAGUUAAAUCAAUGGUAUCAAGGUUACUUGAUGAGGAAGAAAGACGGUAAUUAUUUUUUGGCUUGUGUGCGGGAAAGGUUUGAUCCAUCAGAAUUCGUUUGUAGGCGGUAGGAGUAUUGCAGUUUUUAUCUUAAUUUGUUUGCAAGAUGAUUGUCUUCUAUCUGCUAAACUAGUUUAUGUGAUUUGUUGGUCCGGCAGAUGGCUCGUACCAAGCAGACUGCUCGCAAGUCCACCGGAGGAAAGGCUCCCAGGAAGCAGCUUGCCACGAAGGUUUGUUAUCCAGCAUGUUUUAUUGGCUAAAAUGUAUCGCAAACACCCUGAAUUGCGUGUGACCUAAAAAACAAAUCAAACCUGCGAACAUACAUCUUAGCUUUUUUAAUGAUGUAACAGUAUUUACUCAGUUGCAUCUGAAAUAACUUUGCAUGAACUUUGCAGGCGGCACGCAAGUCUGCUCCUACAACUGGUGGAGUGAAGAAGCCUCACCGCUACCGCCCUGGAACUGUUGCUCUUCGGUGAGUGCAAUUAGAGGUUUUAAAUUAGAGGUUUUAGGUUUUAUCUGUAUAUUUGCUCUUGUUUUCCCCCUUUUUUUUUUUUCAGAUGCAUAAUUAGUUGUUUGCUUUCCUCAGUGAGAUUCGUAAGUAUCAGAAGAGCACUGAGCUGCUCAUAAGGAAGUUGCCUUUCCAGAGGCUUGUCAGGGAAAUUGCACAGGACUUCAAGGUGAGAUCUUGCUGUGAUAAGAACAUCAUCUGCUGUUUAUGAUCAAAUAUUGUUCUUGGAGAGAAUUACGCAAAAGCCCUGGGUAUCAGGGAUACACGUAUUUUCUUAUUUCAACUGCUUCAUUUAGAUACUGAUUGAUGAUACUCUUCUUAUUGCCCUGUAAUAUUAUUGCAGACUGAUCUGCGGUUCCAGAGCCAUGCAGUGCUUGCCCUUCAGGAGGCAGCGGAGGCGUAUCUUGUGGGUCUUUUUGAGGACACCAACCUGUGCGCCAUCCAUGCCAAGCGUGUAACCAUCAUGCCCAAGGAUAUUCAGCUGGCCAGGAGGAUCCGUGGUGAGAGGGCUUGAGCUCUCUCUGUCUGUCUCUAGUCUCAUGCUUAUGUUUCUCGUGUAGUAUCAGUUUGUCGAACUGAUUUAUGUUUUUGUUCAGUUGGUAUUUAUGCAACAUGGACAAUGUACGUUUUAAAGUCAUUAGAGUGGCGUAGGAUGCUAAUGUUGAACCUUUUGUUAUUGGUUGGUGAUAGGUCAUCCAUCCCCUGGUGGAUGUGUAUUGAAUUAUUAAUGUGUUCUAUGUGGUUUUAUGGAUUGGACUGUUUGGCUUGUGUAUCUGUGGUCGUGAGUUAUCAUUUUCUUUUGAAACCUCUGCUCUGUAGCAAGAAAGGUGCCAGUUCUAUACUAAUUCAUGAAAAGUUUUAACUGACGAUGGUGUUCAAUUUUUUUUUUCCCCACCUACAUUGCAGUUUUAUUCAGACUAAUGUAAUAAUGGCUCUCUUUAUAUAGCUGGUGGGUGAUUUAUCUUAUUUGCAAAAAGGAAAAAUGACCAUAAAGAUUGAAUGUGGUCUGUCAUGCUAGAUUUUUGUUUGCCUUUUCGUGAUUGCUGGUCAUCGUACACUCUCUGGUUAAAGUAAGAAAAUAUGCUGAAGGUGUUUAUGCAUUCAAGCAUGGGUAAUGUUACUACAUCAAAUUUAUUUAUGAGGUAACAUCUUCUGGAAGUGCAAUUAGUGUACUUGUAAACAGUUUACAAAUGGCCUAAACAUGAUGCAUCGUUGGUCGAGAGCAUCACAAUUUGACUCUUGUUAAGAUCGUGGGCUAAUAUGUUCUUCGAGGACUGGUUUACGACUACUUCUCAUUCCAACCCUGCGUCUCUACCGAAAAAGCAAAAGAUAAGGUUAUUAUUAUACACAUUAUUAGUUUUUACCUCAAAGAAACAAACAAGUCUGAUAAAUUUCCUGGCAAAAUCAUGUAGGACUUGUUUGGCAUGAUAAUGACAGUUUGAUAAUAGCUCAUCUAAUGCUAUAAGAUAAAGCAGAGUCAGAACGAAAUCAUGUAAAGACAAGCUUCUAAAUCACAACUGACCGUGAAAUUUUUUUGCAAUACCAAUGGGAGUCCUAAUUGAUGAAUUUGUAUUCAGGCUUGGUUUUGGAUUCAAUCUGGACAAUUAAGUCCAUCUCCCUCCCUCCCAAGCUUCUCUUGUAUGCGGACUUGAUUUGAAUUUAUGGAAUAAUCACAAAAAAAAUAGUAUAUCAGUUUUGGAUUCUCACAGCACGAUUGAUUUGAAUUUAUGGAAUAAUCAUAAAAAAAAUAGUAUGUCAGUUUUGAAUUCUCACAGCACGAUAAUCUAUCGGGACAACCCCUCUCGUAACGAGAAGAGAAAACAUUGCUUCCGCAGGAUACAAAGUGAUUUCAGAGGGGAUGAAGCGGCUGACAAACUUAUAAAUCUCCCUCAUUUUUUACUUUUUAUCCAAAGAUGGCUCAACUGCAAGUCAUUCAUGUAAGAAAAAAAUUAAAUUUAACCAAUAAAAAUUAUAAAUUCAUUUAAAAAAAUAUAAAUCAUUUGUAAAUAUUAUAGUACUGUUAUAUGUCAGAUAUCAGCAAUUACUAACGAAUUAUGAUAACGCAAGAGAAAUUUAUCGGACAGCGCGGCUUCUUCCAGCAGUCAAGUUUGCUCAGAGGCUAAAAUAUAGGACAAAAAUAAUUUCCCAAAUAGAAACACGCCUGAGGAAUGGGUCUCUUACCGGUCCAUUUCUCGACACCAGAAGGCAUCCCAUCCGGCACUGCCCCUCCCAAUAUUAAACAUUUCCCCUCCUAUAAAAACCCCACCCUAUUUCCUCUCAACAUUCAAGCAAUCACCAUCGUCGAGCCAAUAAAAAGCAGUUAGAGCAUACCACAGGUGAGAGCCGCAUCCCAAUGGCAUUUCUCGGCAACAAGGCGGUGCUGGCACCUGCUUCUGGUGGCCAUGGUGAUGGCUGCGUCGGUGGGGCCGUCGACCCAAGAAGAGUCCCAGUGCUUCUGCGACUGCAUGAAGACGCAGUGCAUGAAGAUCCAAGGCGCCACCAAGGAGGGGUGCGCCAGAGCCUGCAGCGACGGCUGCACCGACGCUGGAUUCCUGGGCCAGUCCAAACCCAAUGAGCACUGUGGUUACUAAUUAUGUUGGCUCGCCGCGGCUUUGCCUCCUCUUCUCCUUUCUUCUUCCUGUUGUUUUUUUCUUUGCUCGCAUAUUACUUCGCCGUUGUAAGCUCGUUUGUACUGUUGUUUGCUGCCAGUGAUAUCUCUAUUCAAAAAUUUGUUAUCUUAUUUGAUCAAACUUACCAAAGGAAAUGGACUUUUUAGCCCCAAAAAGCUGCCUCAAGAGCGUUUUACACAAGGAAGAUCAACAUAAAAAAAAAAAAAAAAAGCUUUUAAAAACGAAAAAAAAGAGCUCGAAUUUAAAGCUUUCGACCUCUUGAAAUUCAAAUAAUAGAAUAGCUCGGUUACAGAAAUGAACAAGCGACAAUUUAUACACUGAGUGUGGAUUUUACCCCCUCAAGCAUCUACCAUUACGGCUGCAUAGGGGGCGCGUAGCAAAAUAUCAUUUGUUGAAUGUAACUUAAGCCUCUUGGUUGUUGUAUACCACACAUAUUAAAUUAAAUUUAAAUUUUAGAGUAUCUACAUUUCAGAUGUUGAAUUUGUAGAAAUCAAAUAAGAGCCCAUUCUCCAAUAUUUUCCUUUAAGAGUGAAAGAUGACGUAUUAUUUUGAAUUUGAAACCACAGAUAUCAACUACCAGUACGCAAGGCAUAAUUAGUUCUAACAUUAAUUUUUGAAAUUACUUAUGCAUACAUAUUGUUUUAUUUAUACAUAAAACAAAUCACAUACAUAAGUUAUUUAAUACCGUAAAUCAAUGGUAGGCGGUGUACAAAUAUAGGUUUACACUAUGUUCAUGCAAUGGUGUUCUCACUCGGCCACUGCAACAUUAUUUUUCUACAAAAAGUAAAGACUACUCUAAAUGGGUCCCUCAACUUUAACUUUUUCCAGUUAAAACUUCUUCAUUCACUCAUAGCAAAUAAAACUAGAAUAGCUAAUGCAAUUAUUAAAUUUAAUUAGCUUUUUAAUUAAAAUAAUUAGAGUAAUUUAAUUUUGAAAAUAUUAAAAGUAAGGAAAAUGUUAACAAAAAAGUGAUAAAUUCUGGAAGCAAAUUCAAAUUACCUAUAUUUGAGGGCUUCCAUAUGUUUAUAUUUUCAUAUAAUUAAAAUUUAUUUUGAUAAGUGCAGCUUAUAGAAUUUUAAUAAGGGAAAACUUCACUUUAUCACUUUAGUACCCUAUGGUUUAAAGUGUAACAUAAUUAAAUUGAUAAAGUGAUACACUUUAAACAACAGGGUACUAAAGUAAUAAAGUAAGAAAUCACAUGGUACUAACUUGAUUCACUUUAAACCACGGAAUACUAAAAUGAAAAAGUGCGAAAUCACAAAAAUUUUUUUAAAAGUUUUCCCUUUUAAUAAUUAUGUAUAAAAAAGUAUUAAUUUAGAAAAUUAUCAAUUACUCUUCAAAUGGCUCCGAAAUCAAUAAUCAAUAAUAUAAAAGAAUACGUGGUUUACAUAUUAUUUUUUAUAAGAAGUAUAGUAAUUAAUGAUUUUUGAUAUGUAGCCCUUGUAAAUAUUAUAUGCCACAUUUAACAAACUAAAUUUUAAAGAUAAAUAAGCUUUCAAAUAUAAUAUUAGUCUAUCUUCUGUGCUUAUAAUUUUUAUCACGGGAUGAUUUGGUGGAACCAGAUAAUAAGCAAAAAAACUAAGAUUAAAAAAAACUAAAUACAAAAAUUUAUUGAAGGUUUACAUAUAUAAAAACCUCGUCUAAUUAUUACGUAAUAAUAAUUACUAUCAUAGUUUACCUAUGUGAUUACCCAAAUAUAAAACACUCACAGCAAAUCACGGGCCAUUUCACUUCAAGCAUAGUAUGGUAAACAACAAUAUAUAUGAGAUUGUAGAAAGAAGAGAAAUUUCAUAAGCCAAAUAUAUUAAAUAGGGAAGUAUAUAGCAUUCUCAUGAUGCAAACAUAACAGCAGCACACCUAAUAAAGCAGCAAAAGAAAUGGAAAACCGAGUACAGGAGGCACUUCCGUCUCAAGCCACAGGAAAAAGAAGAAAAAUAGAGAGGAAAAGGUACUUGCAAUUGAUAAAUCUGCAAGCUGGAACAUUUAAAAACGAACCGGAGCAGCAGAACACGCCCAUAAAUAAUAAGCUACUACUGCUCAUCAUCGGCCUUGGUUGCCUCUUUGAUAUCAUCAACCCCAUCAUCCUGUAUACGAAGCACGAAAUGAAAAACCAGAACAGUAACUAAAGUGCGCAACAAAGAGUGAUAAUUGAGAAGGCAAGUAUUCUGUUCGUAGGGUGUAUAAAGACCUGCAUAUCCGAAGUCCACAAGGUGAGGUUGUCGCGAAGAAGCUGCAUUAUUAGGGUGCUAUCCUUGUAUGACUCCUCUCCAAGAGAAUCUAGCUCGGCAAUCGCUUCGUCGAAAGCCUACCAACAACUAGUGGUGAGUGCACUGAAUAAUUAUAGCGCCGACACUAUAUCUUAAAACAGAAGUAUCGAGUGACACGAGAAAAAGGUUAUACUAAGAAUGAUCUGUGCAAUCACGGGAUAUAAACCCACUGUGGAUUGUAGAUUCAUACAAAUGUACCCAAAAACAAGGAAUUGAAAUGACCAGUAAACGAACAGCAUAAUAAGGUGCAACGAAACUGUGAAGUACGAACUUACAUAGCAACAAAUUUUGUAACUUAAGGAACUCACACUGGUCGACAAUGUGCUUCGCCAAUAGAAAAUUUACAUCUCUUUACGAAUCUCUGAUUAAUCGAGAACAGCCUAAGCAUAAAGUACAGAUUUUAAAGCCAGCAGGUGGGGAAAAAGAUAAGUGUAGGAACAAGAAGGUGGAUAGCUCAGCAUGGUAGCAUUAUAUACAAAGUGAUAAACAAGAUUAACAGUAAAACUCUUCUAGCUUGUCUCUUGAAUUAAAAUCCCAUGCAUAAUAACCCCUCAAUUAGUAAUCUAAUAUCUCUAUGAAGUGAAAACUACAAGAUGUCAAGAUAGAGAUUCCUAGUACUUCAGAAAGAGAUGGACCGAAACAAAUGAAAUUACAUCCCUCAAUCCUCUCAUUUGCUUAGAGACAUUCAUAAAUUAGAGUUGAUUUUUCAUUUGCCCCCGAAAAAAAAUCAUUGAUCAAACUCUAUGAAUUUUUGUCAUCAUCAGAUAAUGCUCUACUUCUAGCAGAUGAACAACAAUCACAAAACCCUAGAAUCCAUUUCUUAGCGACAUAAAUAUACAAUCAGAGAAACUCAGAACUCUCGAUCUGCUCACCUGCUUUGCGAGAGAGCAAGCUUUGUCCGGCGAAUUGAGGAUCUCGUAGUAAAACACCGAGAAAUUAAGCGCCAGCCCCAGCCGGAUCGGGUGCGUCGGCGCCAACUCCGCCGACGCUAUGUCCUGUCACAAAUCAAUCAAAACUUGUUGAAUCAAACUCGGAAACCCUAACCGUAACCCUAAGAUCGGAAGGGAUGGGGAGAGAUGGGGGACCUGCGCGGCCUUGUACGCGGCGAGGGUGUUCUCGGCGGCGUCCUUGCGCUCGGGGCCGGUCUUGAACUCGGCGAGGUAGCGGUGGUAGUCGCCCUUCAUCUUGAGGUAGAAGACCUUGGAGUCGGCGGAGGCGGCGGAGGGGACGAGGCGGGAGUCGAGGAGGGCGAGGAUGCCGCCGCAGAUGGAGGCGAGCUCGGCCUCGACGCGGCAGCGGUAGGCGCGGAUCGCGGCGGCGUGGUCGGGGUUGCCGCGCCCCUCCUCCUUGGCCUCGAUGGAGGAGACGAUGCGCCACGAGGCCCGCCGCGCGCCGAUGACGUUCUUGUAGGCCACGGAGAGGAGGUUGCGCUCCUCCGCCGUGAGCUCCUCCGCGUCGCCCUUCGCCGCCGCCACCUUCUCCAUGAACUCCACCAUCUCCUCGUACCGCUCCGCUUGCUCCGCCAGCUUCGCCAGGUACACGUUCUCCUCCCUGCUCGCCGCCGCCGCCGCCGCCGCCGCCAUGGACGCCGCCGUGGAUGGUGCUCGCGAACGCCGCGAAAGGGAAAGGCAAAGGGAAAGGGAAAGGGAAAAAAGGUUAAUUUGGUGGGAGCGUAUUGAGAAAAGGUGAAGGCGAGAAAAGGAACCGAGAAUAUUAUACAGGAGUAAAAAGCGAACGAAAACGAGGAAGUGGGUGUAAAAUAAGCACGAGUAUUUAUCCUUCAAAAAUAUCCAUCCUCAAAUAAAUUCAUCUAAAAAUUUAAAAUUUUUCCAAUAAAUUCUCAAAAUAGAGAAAUAUAUAUAUAAGAAAAACUUUUUAAGGGACAAUUUUCUCUUUUAUUCAAUAGUUUCUCAAAUUAAUUUAAUUGCUAUCUCCAGCGGGAUGUGGUUGGAGUCCUCUUCUUAUUUCCCAUUCAGUUUUGUAGGAAACUUGGUUAAAUUGUUUGUGAGAAAAUCCUCCCCGUAAUGAUUGCCAAUCAACAAGCCCAUAUCUAUAACUAUUAUUAUAUAAUCAAAUUUCAGCGACAAAAAUCAUAAACGAGUAUUUGGGAACGAAAAUAAUGUACUCUAAUUUUAGAUUUUUUUAAUUUUUUUCUCCUUUUGUACUUUUGUUGAAGUGCAAGUUGUUUAGAUAGUUAUGUUCUUCUUCAAACAGUAAGACCUAAACUGGGCUAUAGAGAGCUCCAACACUGGGCCAUUUACAGAUUUACUUGUAAUACGAAAAAUUGGUACGUAGGCUACAGUGGAUGAAAGGGCCACAUUUUGCUUUAACUGCGUUGGAUGUUUAAAAGUUGAGGCGCCUUUUAGAAACGUCUUUGUUCUAAAGCCCAUAGAAUGUGCUUCGCUAACUCGUGUUGGUUACCUAUGACUCCACUUAAGAUCGAAACCCAAACUUCUCAAAACAGCGCAAGUGACUUUAAUUUAUCCUAGACCAAAAUUAAUUAUAAAAAAAAAGUAAAACAAAGAAAUAACUAAUCUUUCACACUUCUAUCCUGCACCUCCUUCACUUCCAAUCAAACAAGUAUGAGAACUGAAAAAAUUUUAGUUUCACAAGCUAUAAAACACACAACAAAAAAAAAAAACCUUUAUCUAAAUCCUAAUUCAUCCGAACUUUGAUCAAGUCAGUUAAGGAAGCUUUUAAUCUAAUCGGGCACAUUAGAGCCGACUAAUUUAUGCUACAUAUUACUCAUAGCGAUCAUGAUCACUUGUUCCGUCCAAUUGACAAAGCGUGCAACUUUUUUUUUUUUCCCUAUGUUUCAAUGUAUUCUAAUUCGAAUGUAUUUGACCUGACCUACAAUAUCAUCAUCUUCAAUGUCAAAAGCAGGUUUAUUUUUUAUGAUGUGUUAGUAACAACAAUGGUGCACUUUUUUAAUUAUCAUUUCGAAGGGCCUGCAUAUUAUUGUCAGCAAAGUGCAUUUUCGAAUAUAAAGAGAAAAAAUAGAACCAAAUCCAUAGAAAACAAAACAAAACAAAAAAUUCAAAUUCAAACAUUUCAAUAUGGAGAAGAAACCGUCAAUUAUAUUAUUAUUAUUAUUAUUAUUAUAUAUUGUUUUUCUAGAAUUUUAAAGUAACUUUGCAAGUACUGUACCUGGUCGACGCCUUGGUUGACCAAUCGCCGAGUAAUUUUUUUCGCACCACAAAUCCAGCUUCUGAAAAGUCAACGCCCGCAUUAUCCACGUUUCGUUGUGAUAAAGUUGAUUCGGCGUGUAAAUUUCUCCCCCGCCACGUCACCAAUUCGACCCGGUCUAGUGUGUACAUGCACAAUAGACCCAGGCACGCCUUACGGCGGUUCAGCGCCAAAUCAAGGGGCGCAGAACAAAUCACAGCCGUUCGAUCAGCGUGAUCGUUACGAUAUCAUACGGGCCCACCUUAUUGGCCCGUAUUUUGACAUAGGCGGUGCCCCAAAUCGUAGGAGACAAGUGGGGGAGAGUGACAUGAUGCCAAUCCAGUGGGCCCACAAUCCGAGAUGGGUGGGCCCACAGUGGGUCUGUUUCACUCAAAUUACGUAAAGAGGUGCAGAAAUAUUUUCAGCCGUAAAUACUUACUUUUUGUUGUUUAAUUCUUCAUAAAUUAAAUUAGAUCGUAACACUACUUUUCUUCGCUUUUGGAAAUAGAAUGAGAUAGAAAAAAUUAUAAUAAAUUAAUUGCUAUAGCAAUUUUUUCCUCCAUUUUUUUAUGUGUUUGUAAAAGUUUUUGAUAAAAUAAAUCAAAGAAAUAGAAUAAUUAUAUUUCAAGUCAUAUACUUCCUAUUAAAGAUUAGAAAAUAAUUUUUAUCUGAAUUUGAAUUCAACUAAAAGCCUUUUUCAACUUGAAAAUCAGCUAUGGGCAAACAAUCAGGCCCUUAGCUCUUAUUCUUGAACUGUGUUACUAAGCAAGUAAUAUAUAUAUUUUUUUUUCUAUCACGAAAUUAUUCUAUUGUUCUAAAUUAGUCCCCUAAAACUAGAGAUGGUUUAUCUUGUCCGUAUGUGCCUAGACCUCAAGACUCACUAAAUUUCUACUAUUUAAUCUAUGAAGUUGGAAGUUAUGGGUCCAAAUUUAAUCUCCACUCGAGAAAUCAAAUCCCGACCUUAAAAAGACCAGUUAUCUGAAUAAUAACCACUAGACCAUUGGAGUGAUUGUAUUGAUUUUACCGGUCGAUGAUAGGCUCACGAUAGCAUAUUGGCAGAGAGAAUGAGAGAGGAGGAAGCCUACCAACAGCUACACUGCAUUAUUUAUGUCCAAACAAUCACACUUUUUUUUUAAAAAAAAAUACAAUAAAAAUAUCUUUCUAAAAAUUAUAAUACAAUAAAUGAAUUUCAGAAAAGAAAAUUACAUAAAUAAAAAUACCACAUUAAUUUUAGACUUUUUCAGAAAGAGAGGGCGCCGAUUUCAACUCCUCAGCUGGGACGCUUUUGGAAUUGGACCCAACAACGGUUUCUCUUCACACCAGGUUUGCUUUUCUCUUAAAUAGAGGUCAAGUAAUGUUGUUCGAAUGCGUCCAACCUACGUGUAUUUGGCUCUAGAGCAAGGAAACAAGAAAAUUUGAAUGAGAAGCGCCUCACUUUUUAUCACUGAACCUCUUCUAAAUUUACUGUCUAAUAUAGUAUUGAUAUUGUACGGUCAUUGAACCAUCUUAACAAGAUCUUAUUGAGAAGCUAGCUCUUCAAUAAGGUCGCGCUGCAUAGUAAUAAACUUUUAAUCUGAAUUGGUAUUCGAAACUUGGUGCUGAUGCUUUCGUAUAAUUCGAAUAUUAGAAGUAUAUGACUAGAAACUUCACCGUGUUUAUAAAAUUGCGAUCACUCGAAGUAUCUCUAUUAAUAGAUUUUAACUCUUAUUCACCACUUCAGCCGGUGGGUUUGUUGUUUUGUUUCAAUCAAUCGAGAAGCUCGCUUCGAAUGCUUCAGUAGACCUGACAAAUUCAAUUUGUACUUGUAGAUACUUAUGGAUUACAUGCAAAAUUUGCGCGUAUAGAUACUAUUUUUUUAUACAAAAAGAAAUUGCUAGUAAAAUAGUCAAAUACCCGUUAAAUUAUGGAUAACUUGCGGAUACCAAUGAAUAGCGCAUAUUUAAUUUUUUUAAAAAAAUAAAAAAUGAAAAAAGUAAAUGCUCAAGUUGUUUUACCCGUCCCUACAAUCCUAACACUAAUUUUUUCUAGUGUCAUUUUUUUAUUAUCUAUUGUACGCUGCGAUGUUUUAAACAAUAAAUUAGUUUUUGUUUUUUUAAUAAUAAAUAAUAAUAUAUAUGUCAAUGUCCGAAAAGUAUAAAAAUAGAAAGAAAAAAAAAAAAAAAAAACUUUGUGAGAAACUCGUAUUCCUGACCGCUUAUCCACGGACUGGUAUGGAUAAAAAUCAUGAAUAAUCAAAAAUUACGGAUAAAUUUUAUCUGUAUUUGUAUAAUCUAUAAAUGUAAUGAUCCGCCCACAAAUUGUCCAAUCUUUCGAAUUUUCAGCCAUAUGCUUGAGCCUUAAAAAGAAAAAAAAGGAAAAAAAGAAAAAGAAAAAGUUAGUUUGAGCUUACCAUCUUUCCUGAAUGGUCAUAAAUAAGGUUAAAGCACAGCGAGAGAUAAAAGACAAAACACACGGGUGAAACCCUGCGCGCGCGGAUGCCCUGAUCCCCGUACAUAAAUUUAACAUUUGGUCACGAACAGUGUUUACGUGACCAUGUCCAUAUAUCAACCCAGUAUGAAUGGAACAGGGGGUUUGAGGAAUAUAAGCCCCUGGUAACUAAAGCUGGUACGUGCGAGCCCAUGGUUUCCCUACACUGGUAACUGGUAAACCCUCUCUUAUUUGGAGUACUACGUACAACUUCGAAAAACAUAUCACAUAUACCUAAUUAUAUAUACAAACAUGCACAAAAACAAACUUAUUUUAGGUUACUCGAGAUUGCAUAUUAUUUAUGCUAAACAAACGCCUAACCACGCCUUUUCGCUCCUCAACGGAGAUGAGCAAAAUACAGAGACUGUACAACGCAUCCAGUAGCAUCUUCUCCGCGGAAAGAGGGGGUCUGAACCCUACCUUCAAUCAAAUUAGAUGGCUACAAGAUCUACUUGGUAUAUAUAUAUAUAUAUUUCUCUCUCUAUCAUGGAUCUUUAUCUAUUUGAUUUGAAGAGCUUAAUUACAUAUUAUUGUAGUGUUCGUAAACUGUCCUUUUUUAUGUUUUUUCUUUUUCAAUUUUAGAUGCAAUGGAACCUGCGGACGUAGGAAUUGAUGGAUCUAGUGAUUACGAAAACAAGUCUCAGGAUGGGCUCAUCUUUGGACAAGCUAUAGCCCAAAUCACGUACAUACAUAUUCACGAGUCUGAUCAUUUCUCCGUACGUUUCAACGUAUCUUAGCUUGUAUAAUGUCGUUCUCUAAAACGUUCAUCGUUUUUUCAAAGCUAAGUUUGUGGUAUAAAAGUAUGUUAUCUCUUAAUAAAUAUUCUCUAUAUAUCUAUCUUAUUAAGAUUAAUCAUGCUUACAUGUAUAUAUAUACAUGCUUGUUAAGUUUAAUUUGAUUAGAUUGAAAUUAAUGCUAGUUUCGGGUUUGGCAGAUCGGGGUUUUCUGCUUCCCGGCCGGAGCGAAAAUUCCUUUACAUGAUCAUCCACGAAUGGUGGUCCUUAGCAAAGUGUUAUACGGUUCUGCAAGGGUGAAGUCCUAUGACUGGGUCACCACUCCAAAAUCCAAACCAAAUAUGAGUAAGCAAGUUUCUUUCAUUAUUCUUCUUCUUCUUCUUCUUCUUCUUCUUUUUCUCAAAGGUUUUAGGAACCCAUAAAACAAUUUCAUUAAAAAAGAGAGAAGAGUACGGAGCAUAAAAUUAUGGGAUAUUACGGACAAUGGAUUCGGUUCUUCAGAAAAAAGGGAUCAAUAAAACCAUUAAUUAGAUAGAAAGAUUGACUUCCAGUUUAACAAUGGGCAGAGGUCUACUCGCAGAAGAUUCUAAGAAAGGUGGUGUAUUUAUGACUAACAAUGCUCAAGCACAUGCAACUAAAUAUGUCCUCGUAUAUGCCUUUUAUUAAUUUAAGACUUAAUAUCAAGUACUAUAGAUAUUAAAAACUGUGGACUUAUACCAACCACACUCAGCGUAGUUGAAUAAGAGUUUGAUAAUUGGUAUGUAAGGUCUCAGGUUUAAAGUGUAGUUACUUUAAAUUUUUGGUUAAGUUCAUUUUUAAAAGAAAUCAUGAACAACACGGAUAUUUUGCUACCUUUCUCUCUCUAGAUCUCUCUCUCAAAAAAAAAGGUAGGCUUAUAUAAAGACUUUUUACCAAGUAAAAAACGCUAGAAAUUUUAAUGGAAGUGUCUUUUACUGAAUAUAAGUGGUUUGAUUCAAGUUUAUGGACUAAUUAAGGGUCAGCUUAAUAAGUUGGUCUUAGGGUGGCUUAAAUGGUUGGUUUGCUCAUUUGUUUGUCAAAGUCAACGUGAUGCCAAGAUUAAUGAAGUUUUAGCUAUUUUUCCAGAGACAAUGUGGAAAUAAGUGUUUGCAUAUUAAUUGAGACAAAGUAAAAUCUUUUUAUUUAUUAAUAAAACAAUGGAGGAAAUUAGCAAAUAACAAUCAAUCUGAUGUAAUCUAAUUGAUGCGGAGUCGCGCUCUUUAGCUGAAACGACCAGGUAUUAAGCUUCAAAUUAAUAAAGUUCCUACAAACUUUAGAAAAGUCUUUGUUUCCUCUAUAUUUAGGGAUAUAUGCAUAAAAAGCACAAUGCUUUACAAAAUUUUAUAAUGGUCAAAGAGAUAGAUCUAACAGUAAGAAGCUUACAAAACACCAAAUGUUUAGUGCUAUAUAUAUAUUGAUAAUAUUGUUGUCGGAUUCUAUAUAUAAAACUAAGCUAGAAUACUAUUAAUAGCACCAAGUCAUUAGUACUAUUAAAUUUUCGGUUCUUGGAUGAAGGGAUGUCCGGUUAGGAUGAUUGGCUGAAUAAUAUGAUCUAAUAUGUGGAAAUAAUCCAAGGGGUAGAUCUAACGGUGAGAAACUAAUUAACAAGCACCAAAUGCUUGGUGCUAUUGAUAGUAUUAUAGAUGGUCUCUCUCUCUCUAUAUAUAGAGAGAUCUCUCUUUAUAUAUAUAGAGAGAAGGGCUGCUGUGCUCAUUCGUGCUCCUAAGCCAUUUUGGAUGAUUAAGCUUUCGAAUCGAUCGAUGAUCGGCUCCGUUAGACUUGAUCUAGCAUAUUUGAAGUAUUUAGAAAAUAAAUUUUACUGUUUUUUUUAUAUUAUUUACCUAACGAUCGAAAGGGUUCAAAAUCAAUGGCCGAAAAAAAAAUCUUACAAAAAGUGGUGAUAUAAUACUAAAAUUUUGAUCAGAGAUAUUGAUUUUGCUGUAAAUAACAUAAAAAUUUUUUUAUCAAAAUUUUAUAUGAUUUGAAUACUUAUAUGUCGUUAAACUUUAAAACGGCAAGUAUUAACUAUUAAAAAUUAUUAAUUUUGAAUCUUUUCAAUCAUUAGGUAAAUAAUAUCGCAAAAUCGUAAAAUUUAUUUUUUAGAUACUUAAAAUACGUUAAAUCAAGUCUAACAGAGCUGAUCGUCGGUUCGAAAGUUUAAUCAUCGAAAAAUGACUUAGAAGCACGGAGGCCUCCGCAUUCCUAAGAGCACAGAGACCUCUGCGUUCCUAAGAGCACAACAGCUCUACUCUCUCUCUCUCUUUAUAUAUAUAUAUAUAUAUAGUUAACUGCCAACUGAAUUUGAAUCUGUAUGUAGUAAACAAAUAAUAUUGCUGUCAGUAACAUCAGCGGUUAUAUUUCUGUGACGAGCUUUACCAAUUUGAUCACUCUUGAAAGGUGGGCUUGCGAAAGUAGUGGCGGAGAACCAGCUCCUACAAGCCCCAUGCAAGGCUUCAGUAUUAUUCCCGAGGAGUGGCGGAAACAUCCACUCCUUCACCGCCGUAACUCCCUGCGCCAUUUUGGACGUGCUGGCUCCGCCGUACUCAGAAGAGCUAGGAAGACCGUCGACCUACUUCUCCGACAUUCCCAUCGCUUCUGUCCCAGGUGAUCAUUGGAUUUUUUACAUACAUACUAGUAGGAAGCUAAAAGAUUAAUCGGGUACCGAAAAUUGUUAUAUAUGCUCAUGACAUUGUAAUGCAAUUUGCGAAUAGAAUGAGUUUUGAUCAUAAUUAAGUGGCAAUGGAGGUUUAAGACCACCUUUGGGUCUCAAACUUGUGAACAUGCAAGUAAAAUGCUGCAACCAUGCAUCUUGUCAUUUCCUUUCCUUUUCUUUUCUUUUCUUUUAAUUUCGAAGAUUAACUAAUUACACGCUUGUAAUAUUAUCGUUUAGGGUUUGCAAUACUCGAGAAGAUAGAGAUGCCGGAUGAUUUAAAUGUGGCUGGAGCACCAUACGUCGGACCUGAGCUCAGCGUGGACAUCGACUUUUGUUGAUCUUUUUUUUCUUUUGUGUGAUCUUGUUGUGACGACUAUAUAUAUAUAUCUAUCAUGAUCGUUGAUCUUCUUUGUACAUUUUUGUAUAUGUAAUCUACUAUACGUGAGGGGAUGGUUUUGUAUUCAAUCCAAUCGUGCAUGUGAAAAACUAGCUAAUAUAUUAAGCUAAUUCACGAAGCUAUGUAGUGUAGGUGGGCGAGGAAUUCAAUAUGAACUAAUUUAACACUUGACAGGAAAAAAAAAAAAAACCUAAUUUAACCAGAUCUGACAAAGAAAACGGACAAGACAGCCUAUGUAUGCACCAUUCACGUGACAAGGCAGGAUGAAUUAAUGUGAGCAGGUGAUGUAACAUGCAUGUGAUUUGAUGGGUAUGGUGAGAUGACACCAACUCUGUUCUCAUCUAAAUUGUUUUUUGCUUUAUAAUAUGUCCAAACUUUCGAGGGACUAAUUUGAGAAAAAAAAAGAAAGAAAAAUCCCACUAGCAACGGCAUUCUAAACACGGUUAAUUAACGCACGAAUGUAGCCCGGCCCACUAGGGUUUGUAUUAACAGGGCCCAAAUCGUGUCGCCCAUGCGAGGAGGAGAGGGCUCGACGGGGCGAAGCAAAACCCUCCGAUCGAAAACCCCCGCAGAAGCCGAAACGCAGUUACGCAGCCCUCUCCCCUGAGAUCUGCGGCGGCGCCACCGCCACCGCCACCGCGGUAGCGAUUUGCGGAGAAGCGGGCUUCGGGGAUGGGCGGUGGGCAGAAGCGCGGCCGCACGCAGCGGCGGCACUUCAAGCAGAGCCGCGAGAACGUGUGGAAGCUCAACCCCAAGAAGACCCGCCCCGACGCCGACGAACCCGACGCCGACGCCAAAGCCAACGCCAACCCCAAGUGGGAGCCCUUCGCCACCCAAAACCCCGGCUUCGACGAGUACUACAAGGUGCUUUUCCUCUCCACACUUCCACGAGAUCGAUUCUUGGUUUGGCGUGGAUUUGUUUUGAUGAUUGGGAUCUUAUACGCGGUGCGUAGUUUGUUUCGUUUUAAUUGCGAGUUCUUGGAGGAAAAGGUGAAUUUUUUGGAUCAUUAAUCUUUGGCGCCAUCGCUAUGGGGAAUCCCCUCCUCCCUUUUUUUGAUCUGUGAAUUCAUGUUUAUGCUUGCGCUCUAUGAUGUAUAACACAAAUAGGAUUUGCUUCACAUGUAUGGAUACACAAAAAAAAAAACGUACAUAUACAUGCUUGGUGUCAGCAGUAGUUGUAUGCACACAGGACAUGCCGUUAAUGAGCAAGAUCUCUUCUUGGCGAAUGUCUAAUGAGCAUGCUACAAUUACUUGAGCUGUAAGCGGAUUUUGAUCUGAUAUGAAGAAGUAUCUGACCUUUACAUAUGAGGUAACCGAUGUGCAUGAAGAUGUGGUAUCCGAUAAGAACAAGCCUGUGGUAUUAAACUAUCUGAGCAUCAUAGCUUGUGCAUGCCUAGUUCUUGAAGGAUUAGCUUUGUUUUUGGUUUUUUUUUUAAAUGAUUAAGCGAUGGCAAAGGGCUGAGGGUCAGUGUUGCAUGGUUGGAAUAGGGGAUUUUACAAGUUGUUUUGUGUGGAAGGUAUGGUUUUUGUACAACGUUUGUGUUGCUAGACCAUAUGGUGUAAGGUUAGAGACGGGAUCAUAUCUGGAGGGUUGAUCUGUUGAUAUUAAGAUUUCUCUCUACCUAACUUGCGCUUUGUAUUGUAUAGGUAAUGAUUUGGUAGAAUUGUUCUGUAAUUGCUGACGUUGCUAUCUCAAAAUAUAUCUCUAGGAGCAAGGCAUUGUUCCUGAAGAUGAAUGGGAUGAUUUCAUUUCUUUGCUCCGAAAGCCUCUGCCUGCAGCAUUUAGAAUCAAUGCAAGGUAAUUCUGGAUUGUACUCACAAAAGGGUUGCUGUCAUGCCAUAUAAAUUUGAUAUCAAAUGUACCAUAUAUGUAGCAGAUUUACAAUUCUCUAGAUUUGUUCAGAAUUAUGUCAUUUUCUGCUUGAAAUAUCUUGCAGUCGUUCAUAAUUUUUAUUUGACUAUUGUAAGACCAUAGUUAGUUGUUCAGUUAAAAAAAAAAACCUGAAUUCUGUUAAUUGAAGGAUGAUAAUACUUGCUGCUAGUAAGGGCUUGUAGAGUUGUUGAUUCUUCUAAAUUUAAUUAAUUCAAAAGAUAAGCAUCAUUGUCACACUAGCUGCAGUUUCUAGUUUUCUCAUAGUUUUGCCUCUGAGGGCUCUUUAUUCCUUGUAUGUUUAGUUUGUUUUAAUGACGACCUGUCAUGUAUCAAGUAAGAUUCCGUUUGGUGCAAUUGAUACCAUACUAGAAGUUGAAGAUCAAAGUGAAAUUUGCUAUGCUGCCGUAUCUGCAGAUUAGGUGAUAAAUUCAUCAGAUGAAAAUUAUGUGUAGCUUGCUGUCUUAUAACUCAAUCUGACAAGUUUUAUACAAUGUGUCUAUCAAUAGCUGCUUGUUUAGUUCCUUAGACCUUCGUGUUUGGUGCUACAUUUGCAAAAUAACUAAUAUCAACUCCUCAUUUUACAGUGGCCAAUUUUUUCAGGACAUUCGAUCACAGUUGGAAAAUGACUUCAUGAAAUCACUGCAGGCUGAGGUUCCAUUUAAAUAUUGCUUGAUAAAUUAUUAGUAUUUACGUGCUCUUUUCUAACUUUCAGCCAUUCUAAUUGUUUACAGGUAACAGAUGAUUAUGAAGCGGAAGCUAUUAGACCAUUGUCAUGGUAUCCAGGGAACAUUGCAUGGCAUUUGAACUUUUCUCGUAUGCAACUUAGGAAGAACCAGGCACUUGAGAGGUAGUUGUUAUUAAGUAGACUAUAUUUAUGCCAAUUGAAGUAUAGUACCAUGAAAGGAAUUUACAAGAUUUCUUUUAAUGCUUCAUUUGGACGAUAUCUUUUAGUUGUACUGGUCUCUAUUCAUUUGGACUAAGAUUUUCUUACAUUGUGCUGAUACUUUGUAAGCAUCAAUUUUGGGAUGAUUAUUUUUUGCAUCAUUCUUGUGAAUGUGAAAUUUUAUUGUAAAUUGGCUAUUGUCUAUUUCGUUAGUCCUGUUUAAUCAUGCUGCCUAAUGGCGAAUUCCAGGUUCCAUGAGUUUUUAAAGCAAGAGAAUGAGAUUGGGAACAUAACAAGGCAAGAGGCUGUCAGCAUGGUGGGCAUCUUCAAAUGGAUCUGUUCAAGAAGCUAUUAUAUUUUUAGUAUUCCGUAGUACUUUGUUGUAGAGCUUAUAGUCAUUUUAAAAUGUUUGCUACAGGUUCCUCCACUCUUCCUUGAUGUACUACCGGAUCACCACAUUCUUGACAGUAUGUUCUAUCUCUAUUCAUCAGAUAAUUGAUGUGCAUUAUUUGCUUUUUCAUCAUUUACUUGUUAUAGACCAUCAUCUUUUCUUUUUUUUUUUUGGAUGUCGUUAUAGUGUCACAUUACAUGCAUAUAUUGGGUUAGGACUUAGGAGUUCUAUGCCAUGCCCAAUGCUAGGAUUGUCAUCUAUGAGUAUAGGUCGUACUAUUAUUAUGAAUAAUUUAUAUUUAUUUUUCUCUGCAGUGUGUGCUGCUCCAGGAUCUAAAACUUUCCAGUUGCUUGAAAUUAUGCACCAAUCAAUAGGACCCGGAGUACUUCCCAAUGGGCUGGUACUUUCCUUUAAGCUUUGAAUUUCCAAGUCGUUUCUUUAUGGUUAAGUGCAUAUAAUUCCCGGGAUAUAUCAUAAUUUGUUUCUUAUUUUUCUCAUUAAUCAAAAUCUACUGAUGAAAAUUUGAUUGAUUUAUUAGUAUCUUACACCCUAGAGAAGGGAAUAAUAUAGUAAGUUUUAUAGAUCUAGGGGGUUGUCCAUUGGGGCUUGAUUGCUGAAUCUGUUGAAGUGAAAAUUGCCAUUUAUCCAAAGGGGUUAUUUGCAUUUUAACCUUUCUGUAUUGGAUGGUCUGAUCAAGUGAGAGUCUUAAGGAUUUUGAAUUACGUAUCCCUGUGGUGAUGUGUUUUGCUUGGUGAUAUGUUUUGCUUUGAAUGUUUCUUUAAUUGACAAUCAAGGUGAUAGCUAAUGACGUCGAUGUUCAAAGAUGUAAUCUCCUCAUCCAUCAAACAAAGAGGAUGUCCACUGCCAACUUGAUAGUAACAAAUCAUGAAGCCCAACAUUUUCCCAGUUGUUCUUUGAAAAAGGGUCAAGGAGUUGCUUCUGAAGGGCAGGAGGAGCAUGGAAUACAUACAUUAGAGUUUGACCGUGUUUUAUGUGAUGUUCCUUGUAGUGGUGAUGGCACCCUGCGCAAGGCUCCUGAUAUCUGGAGAAAAUGGUAAUACAUAUUAGUACUCAACUUCCCUUUGCAUUUGAUUUCAUUGGUGCUCCUUGCAGUUUUCUUGAUAAAUGAAAGUUAUUUUCAGGAAUGCAGGCAUGGGAAAUGGUCUUCAUCGUCUCCAAGUGGAGAUUGCUAUGCGUGGUAACUAUAGAACCUCGAGCAGUUUAUAUGAGAUCUAUUUGCAUAUGUACUUCUGCAGGGUUAUCCACUUACAUAUAUUUUCAAAAUCAUGUAUUUUCAUGUCUUAACUUGAAACUUCUGAAAUUGUUGAUACACAUGUAAAAAUCAAGAGAAGCAGAGUUGUUCUAUGUUGAAGAAGACACUCCAUCUUUAUUAAAAUCUAUGACGUAAAUCAUAUUGUUUUCUACUGGGAAACUUUUGUGAAGCAGCUAGCCAUAGUUACAUUGUAGGCUCAUGCCACUACAAGUGUUUCCAUUGCAGGUUUAGCUUUGCUUAAAGUGGGUGGAAGGAUGGUCUACUCUACCUGUUCACUGAACCCAGUUGAAAAUGAAGCUGUUGUUGCUGAGGUUAAUUUGAAAUCUGCUUGAAAUAUUAUACUAUAGGAACAUUUCUCAUUACAUGUUUUACUUGUACUUUCAAAUCACUUGCUCUGUAUCAUGUUUGAAAUUCAGUAAAUUAAAUAUUUGAUAGUCUACUUCUAUGUUGUCCGAAAAGCUUAAAUAUAUAAUACCUAGGAUUUGCUUGCAUGAUUCUUGCACUGUGUGCUUAGAUCUAGCUUUUCACUCUAUAUGAACUAUGAUACUUAGGAUUUAUGUUUACCCUCACUUUUGAUUCUUCAGAACAUGGAGUUGUGCAUUUGUUAUUUAUGGCUUAUAUACAUAUUUUGAUAUUUACUUCUUGAAGAUUGACCCCCAUUUCUAUAUCAUUCUUAUAGUUGAAUAUAACAAUUUAGUCCGGAAUUUCCUUUUUAGAUAACAAUUU
rnacentral:lncRNA from 1 species